rnacentral:rRNA from 1 species
UUCGCCCUUAGAGUUUGAUCCUGGCUCAGGACGAACGCUGGCGGCGCGCCUAACACAUGCAAGUCGAACGGAGCUUAGAGAGCUUGCUUUUUAAGCUUAGUGGCGAACGGGUGAGUAACGCGUGAGUAACCUGCCCUAGAGUGGGGGACAACAGUUGGAAACGACUGCUAAUACCGCAUAAGCCCACGGUACCGCAUGGUACUGAGGGAAAAGGAUUUAUUCGCUUUAGGAUGGACUCGCGUCCAAUUAGCUAGUUGGUGAGGUAACGGCCCACCAAGGCGACGAUUGGUAGCCGGACUGAGAGGUUGAACGGCCACAUUGGGACUGAGACACGGCCCAGACUCCUACGGGAGGCAGCAGUGGGGGAUAUUGCACAAUGGGGGAAACCCUGAUGCAGCGACGCCGCGUGGAGGAAGAAGGUUUUCGGAUUGUAAACUCCUGUCGUUAGGGACGAUAAUGACGGUACCUAACAAGAAAGCACCGGCUAACUACGUGCCAGCAGCCGCGGUAAAACGUAGGGUGCAAGCCGUUGUCCCGGAAUUACUGGGUGUAAAGGGAGCGCAGGCGGGAAAGACAAGUUGGAAGUGAAAACCAUGGGCUCAACCCAUGAAUUGCUUUCAAAAGUGUUUUUCUUGAGUAGGUGCGAGGGUAGAUGGAAUUCCCGGGUGUAGCGGGUGGAAUUGCUUAGAUUUCGGGAGGAACACCAGUGGCGGAAGGCGGUCUACUGGGCACCAACUGACGGGGAGGCUCGAAAGCAUGGGUAGCAAACAGGAUUAGAUACCCUGGUAGUCCAUACCGUAAACGAUGAUUACUAGGUGUUGGGGGAUUGACCCCCUCAGUGCCGCAGUUAACACAAUAAGUAAUCCACCUGGGGAGUACGACCGCAAGGUUGAAACCCAAAGGAAUUGACGGGGGCCCGCACAAGCAGUGGAGUAUGUGGUUUAAUUCGAAGCAACGCGAAGAACCUUACCAGGUCUUGACAUCCGAUGCAUAGCACAGAGAUGUGUGAAAUCCUUCGGGACAUCGAGACAGGUGGUGCAUGGUUGUCGUCAGCUCGUGUCGUGAGAUGUUGGGUUAAGUCCCGCAACGAGCGCAACCCUUAUUGCCAGUUACUACGUUAAGAGGACUCUGGCGAGACUGCCGUUGACAAAACGGAGGAAGGUGGGGAUGACGUCAAAUCAUCAUGCCCUUUAUGACCUGGGCUACACACGUACUACAAUGGCGUUAAACAAAGAGAAGCAAGACCGCGAGGUGGAGCAAAACUCAAAAACAACGUCUCAGUUCAGAUUGCAGGCUGCAACUCGCCUGCAUGAAGUCGGAAUUGCUAGUAAUCGCGGAUCAGCAUGCCGCGGUGAAUACGAUCCCGGGCCUUGUACUCACCGCCCGUCA